AUUCCAGCCCCAAUAGCGUAUUUUAAAGUUGUUGCGGUUAAAAAGCUCGUAGUUGGAUUUCUGCUAGGAGCAAUCGGUCCACCCACUGGGUGUGUAUCUGUGUCGGCCUUGGCAUCUUCCUGGCGAACGCAACUGCGCUUGACUGCGUGGUGCGGUGCGCAGGACUUUUACUUUGGAGAAAUUAGAGUGUUUCAAGCGGGCGCACGCCUUGAAUACAUUAGCAUGGAAUAACAAUAUAGGACUGGAGUUCUAUUUUGUUGGUUUCUAGAGCUGAGGUAAUGAUUAAUAGGGGUAGUUGGGGGCAUUCGUAUUUAACGGUCAGAGGUGAAAUUAUUGGAUUUGUUAAAGACGGACUACAGCGAAAGCAUUUGCCAAGAAUGUUUUCAUUG
rnacentral:rRNA from 1 species